rnacentral:rRNA from 1 species
AUUGAACGCUGGCGGCAGGCUUAACACAUGCAAGUCGAGCGGAGAUGAGGUGCUUGCACCUUAUCUCAGCGGCGGACGGGUGAGUAAUGCUUAGGAAUCUGCCUAUUAGUGGGGGACAACAUUCCGAAAGGAAUGCUAAUACCGCAUACGCCCUACGGGGGAAAGCAGGGGAUCUUCGGACCUUGCGCUAAUAGAUGAGCCUAAGUCGGAUUAGCUAGUUGGUGGGGUAAAGGCCUACCAAGGCGACGAUCUGUAGCGGGUCUGAGAGGAUGAUCAGCCACAGUGGGACGGAGACACGGCCCAGACUCCUACGGGAGGCAGCAGUGGGGAAUAUUGGACAAUUGGCGGAAGCCUGAUCCAGCCAUGCCGCGUGUGUGAAGAAGGCCUUUUGGUUGUAAAGCACUUUAAGCGAGGAGGAGGCUACCUGGAUUAAUACUCUAGGAUAGUGGACGUUACUCGCAGAAUAAGCACCGGCUAACUCUGUGCCAGCCGCCGCUGUAACAC